AUGGCACCAAUUACCGAGUGUUUGAAGAAAGGAAAGUUCCAAUGGGCAGAAGCAGCUGAAGCUAGCUUCAAUGAGAUUAAACAAAAGCUAUCACAAGCUCCUGUCUUGGUACUACCUGAUUUCAACAAGACUUUUGAGUUGGAGUGUGAUGCAAGUGGAGUAGGCAUUGGAGCUGUCCUAUCUCAAGAAAGGAAGCCCAUUGCUUUCUUUAGUGAGAAGUUAAGUGAAGCUAGACAGAAAUGGAGUACCUAUCAGCAAGAAUUAUACGCCGUUUUCAGAGCGUUGAAAACUUGGGAAGUCUAUUUGCUGCCUAAAGAGUUCAUUGUUUAUAGCGACCAUCAAUCCUUGAAGCAUUUUAGAAAUCAAAAGCAUGUUGACCGCAUGCUAGCAAGAUGUGCAGCAUAUCUUGAGAGGUUUAACUAUCUCACCGUGCAUAAAUCUGGAAUAACUAACAGAGUGGCCGAUGCUUUGAGUCGUCGUGCAUGCCUCUUGACUUCUUUUGAAGCUGAACUUCCGGGCAUGGGUCAAAUAAAGGAGUUGUAUGAGGGUGACGAAGACUUUGGCCAUGUUUGGGUAAAGCACGCAAGGGGCCAACCAUUAGGUGAUGACUAUUUGAUGCAAGAUGGAUAUCUCUUCAAAAAUGAUCGUUUGUGCAUUCCAAGAAGUUCUCUACGUGACAAGCUGGUUAGAGAACUCCAUUCAAGUGAUCUUAGUGGCCAUGUUGGACGGGACAAGACUAUCACUAACCUGGAAGCUCGCUACUUUUGGCCACAACUAAAGAGAGAUGCUGGAAAGUUCGUUCAACGGUGCCCCGUAUGUCAGACCUGCAAAGGCCAAGUCCAGAACACAGGGUUAUACAUGCCUUUGCCUGUUCCUGUUGCUCCAUGGGAGGACAUUUCUAUGGACUUCGUCUUGGGCUUGCCAAGAACAAGAUGA
rnacentral:rRNA from 1 species